AACGAACGCUGGCGGCAGGCCUAACACAUGCAAGUCGAGCGCACCUUCGGGUGAGCGGCGGACGGGUUAGUAACGCGUGGGAACGUACCCAGAUCUAAGGAAUAGCCACUGGAAACGGUGAGUAAUACCUUAUACGCCCUUCGGGGAAAGAUUUAUCGGAUUUGGAUCGGCCCGCGUUAGAUUAGGUAGUUGGUGGGGUAAUGGCCUACCAAGCCUACGAUCCAUAGCUGGUUUGAGAGGAUGAUCAGCCACACUGGGACUGAGACACGGCCCAGACUCCUACGGGAGGCAGCAGUGGGGAAUCUUGCACAAUGGCGAAAGCCUGAUGCAGCAACGCCGCGUGAGCGAAGAAGGUCUUCGGAUCGUAAAGCUCUGUCCUAUGGGAAGAACACAAUGACGGUACCAUAGGA
rnacentral:rRNA from 1 species